GCUCACGCAUGCGCACUAAGAGGCAAAAUGGCGGAACCCAGCCGAUGUACGACCUUCUAGGAACAUUCUGGUGAGGGAAGAAGGCCUCAAGCGAGCAUAUGCACAACUCCGGUAAACACACCGCACACGCAGCCCUCCCAAGCACAAGCGGGCCACCGCACACGCGGACUGCCCACCCCAGGGGGGAAUCAGAGGAGAAGAGACGCAACCCCGGGAAGCACGCCAACGUCUGACCACCCAAGUCAAAGGUCUGCUUUAACCGGAUUGCCUCUCUUAGCUGAGAGAGCCCGACAGACUCCAUUUCAGUGCCUUCACUUGCAGCCCACCUUACCUCCCCCCGUGCAAGGCGUAGCGAGGGCAAGCGGACUCCAGGAACGCACUUGCUGGUAGAAUUCUUUCUUCUGAGGAAGCAAGAAAUAAGGUUGCUGCACACACAAAUGGAUUCGCCACUGCUAAUAUAUUAAUGAAAGCAGGAAGAGAUAACUUCAGGGUCACGUAAAGAAAAAUGUUGCCAGAAGAAAUGAAUGGCUUCAGGGACACUGUUACCAGCUGCUAACAACCAGAUGUCUGGUUGCUCAAGGCAUUACCGGAGACUUAAAAAACACAGACUUUUUCCACUAGAUUCUGUGAAACUCCCCAUCCCUUACUCUCUAGUCACAUUAAAAACUACCCACUGCUUCCUUUUGUUUAGAUGGAUUUAAGAGAUCUUGCCCUCCCACCUUCUUGCUUUAGUCAAAUCAAAUAAACCUUUCUCUAUCUCCAAGUA